GUGCUUGCUUAGGCAGCACAUACACUAAAAUUGGAAUGCUGCAGACAAGAUUAGCAUGGCCCCUGCACAAGGAUGACAUGCAAAUCUGUGAAGCACUCCAUAUUUAA